UUUUACAUGAAUAUCCUUUUAAAUAUCAAAUUUUGCAUGAAUAUCCUCCUAAAAUUAAUAUUUUCAUUAUACCCUUGUAAAACACUUGUUUUGUUAUUCUAUUCAUUUUUUAUCCUUAUUUUUUAAAAGUCCUUAUGAAGUAUUUUUUUCCAGACAGGAGAUCCCGAAAAGGUUGGUUCUGCUUUCUUUUUGUUUUUUUUUUGCAUCCCAAUC
rnacentral:lncRNA from 1 species